GGGGAUGUAUUAGAAUCGACGGAAAUUUCUCCUUUGCCAUGCGGGCGGAGUUUGCUAGAAUCUCCUUAAACUUCUAGCAAAAUUUAAUGCCAACGAACCUUCUCUUGCAUUAGCUUAUUGCUAAUGCCAUCUGCCUGCCUGUCCUCGCUCGGGCAGUGUCAGGUGUCAUAUUAAGCGAGGGAAGCACUUUCGAUUGUUAACAAUUAAUCUUAGAUUUAUUCUAGAUGGUUGUCAGUUUUCCUUAAACUGACUAGGCCCGUAGAUUUGGUAAAGGGGAAUUUCCGGACGGGAGUGCAAUUCUCCCCAUCUCCAAAA
rnacentral:tmRNA from 1 species